rnacentral:lncRNA from 1 species
UCCGUUAGGCAUCUCAGGCGGUUCCGUGAAUCGCCUCUGUGUUCGAAACGGAUACAAGCGGAAAUAAUUGGGCGCCAUAACUUCUCCAAGGAUUCCUUCCCUUUUGUGUGUUCCUAAGAAUUCCGUUUGAUUUCCAAAGCGCCGGAUGUUACCGCGGCAGAGACGUCCGUCGCCGGCAGUCACGCUGACUUCUCGGAGCGAGGCGCACAACGGCGUUGGUACAUCCAAUGCGGCUACGCCAAACCCUAGGAGUG